GCUUCGGCUCUCGCUGCACGACGGGCCAAUAGUCGUGCUUCAGCCUAAAAUAAUAAAAAAAUUAUAAAUUUUAUAAAGUUUUUUAUAAAUUAACGUUUCAGAUGCAAAUGUUAAUUCAUCAUUCAAUACCGCGGGAGCAACGCAACGAAACAAUUACUUAAACAAAAAUAAAACCAAAGGAGACUUCCUUCCGUCGAUAAUACACGCGCGUGCUUUGCGUCCCCUUAUUUCUCUUGUGUAUCAUGUGUCGCAAAUCAGGAAGCUCGAAUGAUGCCACUGCCAGUUGACAAAUCGUUGGUUAAAAAUAAGCAAAUGUCGAACGCGCCCCUCGAUUCGAAUGUAUCUAAUCGUUUUUUCACAUCCGGGUGGAUGCGCUGUCAAGUUUUAAAGAUUAUACAGUUUAUUCUUGAUUUAUAAUCCCUACUAAUAUUAUAAAUGCGAAAGUCCUGAUGUUUGUUACACUUUCACGCAAAAACUACUUAACCGAUCAUCAUGAAAAUUUGUACACAUAUUCUUAGUGGUCCCCGAAUGGUUAUAGGCUACUUUUUAUUUAAUAAAAAAAAAUAUUUUUGAAAUAAAAUAAAGAAAUUGUUUAGCCAAUAA